AGUGAACGCUGGCGGCAGGCCUAACACAUGCAAGUCGAGCGGCAGCGCGUCCGACCACCCUCGGGUGGUCGGAUGGCGGCGAGCGGCGGACGGGUGAGGAAUGCAUCGGAAUCUGCCUCGUUGUGGGGGAUAACGUAGGGAAACUUACGCUAAUACCGCAUACGACCUACGGGUGAAAGUGGGGGACCUUCGGGCCUCACGCGAUGAGAUGAGCCGAUGCCGGAUUAGCUAGUUGGCGGGGUAAAGGCCCACCAAGGCGACGAUCCGUAGCUGGUCUGAGAGGAUGAUCAGCCACACUGGAACUGAGACACGGUCCAGACUCCUACGGGAGGCAGCAGUGGGGAAUAUUGGACAAUGGGGGCAACCCUGAUCCAGCCAUGCCGCGUGUGUGAAGAAGGCC
rnacentral:rRNA from 1 species